UCGAACGGAGUACCCUCGAAAGAGAUUUCGGUCAAUGGAGAGGACUACUUAGUGGCGGACGGGUGAGUAACGCGUGAGGAACCUGCCUUUCAGAGGGGGACAACAGUUGGAAACGACUGCUAAUACCGCAUAACGUACGGGUAUCGCAUGGUACUGGUACCAAAGAUUUAUCGCUGAGAGAUGGCCUCGCGUCUGAUUAGCUAGUUGGUAGGGUAACGGCCUACCAAGGCGACGAUCAGUAGCCGGACUGAGAGGUUGGCCGGCCACAUUGGGACUGAGAUACGGCCCAGACUCCUACGGGAGGCAGCAGUGGGGAAUAUUGGGCAAUGGGCGCAAGCCUGACCCAGCAACGCCGCGUGAAGGAAGAAGGCUUUCGGGUUGUAAACUUCUUUUGACAGGGAAGAGCAGAAGACGGUACCUGUCGAAUAAGCCACGGCUAACUACGUGCCAGCAGCCGCGGUAAUACGUAGGUGGCAAGCGUUGUCCGGAUUUACUGGGUGUAAAGGGCGUGUAGCCGGGCUGACAAGUCAGAUGUGAAAUCCGGGGGCUCAACCCCCGAACUGCAUUUGAAACUGUUGGUCUUGAGUAUCGGAGAGGCAGGCGGAAUUCCUAGUGUAGCGGUGAAAUGCGU
rnacentral:rRNA from 1 species